UACGUAUGGGGCGAGCGUUGUCCGGAAUUAUUGGGCGUAAAGGGUACGUAGGCGGUUUUUUAAGUCAGGUGUGAAAGCGUGAGGCUUAACCUCAUUAAGCACUUGAAACUGGAAGACUUGAGUGAAGGAGAGGAAAGUGGAAUUCCUAGUGUAGCGGUGAAAUGCGUAGAUAUUAGGAGGAAUACCGGUGGCGAAGGCGACUUUCUGGACUUUUACUGACGCUCAGGUAC
rnacentral:rRNA from 1 species